rnacentral:rRNA from 1 species
GGGUGACUGCGUACCUUUUGUAUAAUGGGUCAGCGACUUAUAUUCUGUAGCAAGGUUAACCGUAUAGGGGAGCCGAAGGGAAACCGAGUCUUAACUGGGCGUUAAGUUGCAGGGUAUAGACCCGAAACCCGGUGAUCUAGCCAUGGGCAGGUUGAAGGUUGGGUAACACUAACUGGAGGACCGAACCGACUAAUGUUGAAAAAUUAGCGGAUGACUUGUGGCUGGGGGUGAAAGGCCAAUCAAACCGGGAGAUAGCUGGUUCUCCCCGAAAGCUAUUUAGGUAGCGCCUCGUGAACUCAUCUUCGGGGGUAGAGCACUGUUUCGGCUAGGGGGUCAUCCCGACUUACCAACCCGAUGCAAACUGCGAAUACCGAAGAAUGUUAUCACGGGAGACACACGGCGGGUGCUAACGUCCGUCGUGAAGAGGGAAACAACCCAGACCGCCAGCUAAGGUCCCAAAGUCACAGUUAAGUGGGAAACGAUGUGGGAAGGCUCAGACAGCCAGGAUGUUGGCUUAGAAGCAGCCAUCAUUUAAAGAAAGCGUAAUAGCUCACUGGUCGAGUCGGCCUGCGCGGAAGAUGUAACGGGGCUAAACUGUGCACCGAAGCUGCGGCAGCGACGCUUAUGCGUUGUUGGGUAGGGGAGCGUUCUGUAAGCCUGCGAAGGUGUCCUGUGAGGGAUGCUGGAGGUAUCAGAAGUGCGAAUGCUGACAUAAGUAACGAUAAUGCGGGUGAAAAGCC